UUGAUUGCUAGCUUCUCAGUAAAAUAAAGAAUUUCUUAUCCAACCAAUGGUGACUCUCAUGGUGAGAAAGUGGAAGAGGAGAGAAUAUGGCUGUGGAAAGGGAGAGGAAAACCAUUGUGUAAGCAAAGCUGUAAAGAUCAGAGAAUCGGAGAUCAGAGUGGUGGUGGAUGAAGACGCCGACGACGGUACAUCAAGAAGAAGCUAGGCGGAAACCGAUGAGACUAAAGACGGCGGCGGAGAACCACCGCGAACUACGUACUAGGGAGGUUCGUUAUAAGGACUACGACGCGAUUGCGUGUUGAUUUGGCAUGUUGCUAUGGAGAUAUGCUAUUUCACCAUAGACGACAGUGGAAAGGACGAUUAUCCAAACCAAAAAAUAUGCAGAAACAUCUCGGAAUAUUUAAUUUGGUGUACUUUCUGGUGAUGGAGGGGAAACUCACGUCCACAGUCCCCGGAAACAUAGGAAUGAGAUUCAGAGACAUAUAUAUGUCGGGAAGAAGGUAAACACACCCGUGAGGAACUCAAGGCCUGCAGGUUACUCUUUGCAGCUAUUAGGAAAAACAAUUAUUUCUUACUGUAUCAAACACGAGGCCUCUGCAAAAAUGGAGGACUUCAAGGAUUUCUGCACCAUCACCAACUGGAAAAACAACAAUGCACGCAGUAUACUUAGACAUCCAAUUAUAAAUUAAAUAAAUGCAUAUUUAUUUU